rnacentral:rRNA from 1 species
UACGUAGGGUGCAAGCGUUGUCCGGAAUUAUUGGGCGUAAAGAGCUUGUAGGCGGUUUGUCGCGUCUGCUGUGAAAUUUCGGGGCUCAACCCCGAACUUGCAGUGGGUACGGGCAGACUAGAGUGUGGUAGGGGAGACUGGAAUUCCUGGUGUAGCGGUGAAAUACGCAGAUAUCAGGAGGAACACCGAUGGCGAAGGCGGAUCUCUGGGCCUGUUCUGACGCUGAGGCGCGAAAAGCUAGGGGGAGCGAACAGG